CCUACGAGAGGCUGCAGUGGGGAAUAUUGCACAAUGGGGGAAACCCUGAUGCAGCGACGCCGCGUGAGUGAAGAAGUAAUUCGUUACGUAAAGCUCUAUCAGCAGGGAAGAAAAUGACGGUACCUGAGUAAGAAGCCCCGGCUAACUACGUGCCAGCAGCCGCGGUAAUACGUAGGGGGCAAGCGUAAUCCGGAUUUAAUGGGGGUAAAGGGAGCGUAGACGGUGCGCCAAGGCUGGAGUGAAAUGCCGAAGCUUAACUGCGGAACUGCUUUGGAAAAUGGCGAACUAGAGUGCGGGAGGGGUAAGCGGAAUUCCUAGUGUAGCGGUGAAAUGCGUAGAUAUUAGGAGGAACACCGGUGGCGAAGGCGGCUUACUGGACCGUAACUGACGUUGAGGCUCGAAAGCGUGGGGAGCAAACAGGAUUAGAUACCCUGGUAGUC
rnacentral:rRNA from 1 species